rnacentral:rRNA from 1 species
UACGUAGGGUGCGAGCGUUAAUCGGAAUUACUGGGCGUAAAGCGUGCGCAGGCGGUUGGCAAAGUCAGCUGUGAAAGCCCCCGGGCUUAACCUGGGAAUGGCGGUUGAAACUAGUCGACUCGAAUCUGGCAGAGGGGGGUGGAAUUCCACGUGUAGCAGUGAAAUGCGUAGAGAUGAUGGAGGAACACCGAUGGCGGAAGGCAGCCCCCCUGGGCUGAGAUUGACGGCUCGAGGCACGAAAGCGUGGGGAGCAAACAGGG